UCCAGGGUAGCCUAGUGGACAUGGUCAUCUGCGCGGUAAGCGGAACACUGUGGGUUCGAUUCCCAUCCCUGGAC